GACGAACGCUGGCGGCGUGCCUAAUACAUGCAAGUAGGACGCACAGUCUAUACCGUAGCUUGCUACACCAUAGGCUGUGAGUUGCGAACGGGUGAGUAACGCGUAGGUAACCUGCCUAUUAGAGGGGGAUAACUAUUGGAAACGAUAGCUAAUACCGUAUAACAGUAUGUAACACAUGUUAGAUGCUUGAAAGAUGCAAUUGCAUCGCUAGUAGAUGGACCUGCGUUGUAUUAGCUAGUAGGUAGGGUAAUGGCCUACCUAGGCGACGAUACAUAGCCGACCUGAGAGGGUGAUCGGCCACACUGGGACUGAGACACGGCCCAGACUCCUACGGGAGGCAGCAGUAGGGAAUCUUCGGCAAUGGGGGGAACCCUGACCGAGCAACGCCGCGUGAGUGAAGAAGGUUUUCGGAUCGUAAAGCUCUGUUGUUAAGGAAGAACGAGCGUGAGAAUGGAAAGUUCAUACUGUGACGGUACUUAACCAGAAAGGGACGGCUAACUACGUG
rnacentral:rRNA from 1 species